rnacentral:rRNA from 1 species
AGGGAAUAGAUACCCAGGUAGUCCACGCCGUAAACGAUGGUCACUAGGUGUGUGUGGUAUCGACCCCGCACGUGCCGCAGCUAACGCGAUAAGUGACCCGCCUGGGGAGGUACGGCCGCAAGGUUGAAACUACAAAGGAAUUGACGGGGGCCCGGCACAAGCGGUGGAGCAUGUGGAUUAAUACGUCACUAACCGUAGAACCUUACCCAGGCUUGACAUCUAGGGAAUCCCCCUCGAAAGGGGGAGGUGCUCGCAAGAAGAGCCCUAACGACAGGUGUUGCAUGGCGUGUCGUCAGCUCGUGUCGUGAGAUGUUGGG